rnacentral:rRNA from 1 species
UGGGGAAUAUUGGGCAAUGGGCGCAAGCCUGACCCAGCAACGCCGCGUGAAGGAAGAAGGCUUUCGGGUUGUAAACUUCUUUUCUCAGGGACGAAGCAAGUGACGGUACCUGAGGAAUAAGCCACGGCUAACUACGUGCCAGCAGCCGCGGUAAUACGUAGGUGGCAAGCGUUAUCCGGAUUUACUGGGUGUAAAGGGCGUGUAGGCGGGGAAGCAAGUCAGAUGUGAAAACCACGGGCUCAACCUGUGGCCUGCAUUUAAAACUGUUUUUCUUGAGUACUGGAGAGGCAGACGGAAUUCCUAGUGUAGCGGUGAAAUGCGUAGAUAUUAGGAGGAACACCAGUGGCGAAGGCGGUCUGCUGGACAGCAACUGACGCUGAGGCGCGAAAGCGUGGGGAGCAAACAGGAUUAGAUACCC